rnacentral:tRNA from 1 species
GCAAUAGUAGCUCAGUGU